UGCCAGCCGCCGCGGUAACACGGGGGGCGCAAGCGUUAUUCGGAAUUAUUGGGCGUAAAGGGCGCGCAGGCGGUCUUGUCAGUCAGGUGUGAAAGCCCGGGGCUCAACCCCGGAUGGUCACUUGAAACAGCAAGACUUGAGUACUGGAGAGGAGAGAGGAAUUCCUGGUGUAGAGGUGAAAUUCGUAGAUAUCAUCAGGAACACCGAUUGCGAAGGCAGCUUACUGGGCAAUAACUGACGCUAAGGUACGAAAGCGUGGGGAGCGAACAGGAUUAGAUA
rnacentral:rRNA from 1 species